rnacentral:rRNA from 1 species
AGGAUGAACGCUGGCGGCGUGCCUAACACAUGCAAGUCGAACGUCCUGUCUCGCAAGAGGCAGGGAGUGGCGGACGGGUGAGUACCACGUGGGUCAUCUACCGUGAGGUGAGGAAUACCGGCGAGAAAUCGCCGACAAGACCGCAUAGGCUCGAUGCAAGUCGAGCAAAGCUCUUUCGAGAGAGGGAGCGCCACACGAGGAGCCUGCGCCCGAUUAGCUAGCUGGUGGAGUAACGGUUCACCAGGGCGACGAUCGGUAGCUGGUCUGAGAGGACGAUCAGCCACACUGGGAUUGAGAACGGCCCAGACUCCUACGGGGGGCAGCAGUGAGGAAUUUUCGUCAAUGGGGGCAACCCUGAACGAGCAACGCCGCGUGCAGGAGAAGGUUUCGGAUCGUAAACUGCUUUUCUCGGGGUAAGAGAACGGACGGUACCCGAGGAAUCAGCCCCGGCUAACUACGUGCCAGCAGCCGC